rnacentral:tRNA from 1 species
CGGUGGCCGAGUGGAUAACGCGAUGGCGUUUGAAGCGAAAGGUACUGGGUUCGAGUCCAAGAGUGAA